GACGAACGCUGGCGGCGUGCUUAACACAUGCAAGUCGAACGGAGUGUCGAAAGGGUGAGUAACACGUGGGUGACCCGCCUUGCACUUCGGGAUACGCUUGUGAAACUGGGUUGAAUACCGGAUAGGGCAGGAUGAGGUCGCGGCCGAUCAGCUUGUUGGUGGGGGAAUGGCGGACCAAGGCGUCGACGGGUAGCCGGCCUGAGAGGGUGGACGGGCCCAGUGGGACUCAGGUACGGCCCAGACGCCAACGGGCGGCAGCGGUGGGAGAUAUUGCACAAUAGGCGGAAGCCUGAUGCAGGGACGCCGCGUGGGAGAUGAAGGCCUUCGGGUUGUAAACUCCUUUGGACAGGGACGCGGUACCUGAAUAAAAAGCACCGGCUAACUACGUGCCAGCAGCCGCGGUAAUAC
rnacentral:rRNA from 1 species